ensembl:lncRNA
AGUUCUCCAUACCUUUAGAUUUGCAAUGUCUUUUAUAUUUUAAUGAGAAAUUGAAAAGGAAUGGGGUGGAAAGGGAUGGAAUGGAAUAAGAUGGAGCAGAAUUGAGUGGAGUGGAGUAGAAUAGAAGUAGAAAUGAAUAGAAUACUUCGGUUGAGUUAGAAGGGACCAUCAAAGAUCAAGUUCACCUCUCUAGGAAACCUGAACACCCUCACAAUAAAGACAUUUUUCCUAAUCUGGCCUUGAACACCCUCUGGCAUAGCUUUCUUCAGUCAUGGUACUCCAGUUAUAUGAGUCAUCCCACCAUGUUUCCAUUAUAGCAAUAAGAUUUCAUACACUGGUAUAGAAGUACUUCAGCUGGGCUUUCAGCUUCAUUACCUUCUUGGAUAAGCCCUCCCAAAGACCUUUGGGAAAAAUUGAGGUCUUCCCCUGCUGCUUCCAAUAUAGGCAGUGUUCCCUGAUUCUUCUCUGUUCCUCAGCUUGCUGCCUACUAUAUUCAUUAUAAGAUGCAGCAGGUUGAGGGCCCCUGCUAUCACCUCGUCCCUCUAACUUAUGCUAUCUUACACCUAAAGGGGAAUGGAAGUGAUAGUGAUCCUGUCAGAUCUAAACCAACCAUAGUUUAUUGCAGCUGUGGUAGCAGUUGACUAGCAGACAAGUAACUGUUGUGUACAAUUGUUGUAGGUAAAAUUUAGUUUACAUUAAUUAAAAAAAAAAAUGUAUACAUUAAACUGUUAGUGACUAUCAAAUUUAAAAAAAAAAAGUUGAAAAUUGCAGGUGCAAGAUAAUGUCUAAGGUGCAGUGUGUAAUGUUGUGAAUCAGGUAGAACUGGAUUUAGAUAUAACUGCAUGGUUACCGUGAAUAUUAUUUUACUCAGAAGUACAAACAGGAAUUGUAGUAAGAAAAUAGAUCAGGGAUAAAAGUGCUCACUAUAUUGGCUUCUCCAGCCCCUCUCUCAGGAUCUAAAUUGGGAAAAAAGAGAAUCCAGAGAAACUUAAUUCUUGAAGUAAUAUAUUCUUCAUAGAAUCAAGGAGCAGUUUGGGUUGGAAGAAAUCUUAAAGAUCAUCUAAUUCCAACCACCUCAAAAUGUGCAGGGUUACCACCCACCAGAUCAGGUUGCCCAGGGCCCCAUUCUGCCUGGCCUUGAACGUCUCCAGGAAGUGGGCAUUCACAACUUCUCUGAGCAACCUGUACCAGUGCCUCAUCAGCCUCCAAUUAAAAAAUCUCCCCCCAACAUCUGACCUAAACCUCCUCUCUUUUAGUUUACAGCCAUUCCCCCUUGUCCUAUCUCUACCUGCUCAU